GGUUAAGCGACUAAGCGUACACGGUGGAUGCCCUGGCAGUCAGAGGCGAUGAAGGGCGUGCUAAUCUGCGAUAAGCGCCGGUAAGGUGAUAUGAACCGUUAUAACCGGCGAUACCCGAAUGGGGAAACCCAGUGUGACUCGUCACACUAUCAUUAACUGAAUCCAUAGGUUAAUGAGGCGAACCGGGGGAACUGAAACAUCUAAGUACCCCGAGGAAAAGAAAUCAACCGAGAUUCCCCCAGUAGCGGCGAGCGAACGGGGAGGAGCCCAGAGCCUGAAUCAGCAUGUGUGUUAGUGGAAGCGUCUGGAAAGUCGCGCGAUACAGGGUGACAGCCCCGUACACAAAAGCGCAUGUGUUGUGAGCUCGAUGAGUAGGGCGGGACACGUGGUAUCCUGUCUGAAUAUGGGGGGACCAUCCUCCAAGGCUAAAUACUCCUGACUGACCGAUAGUGAACCAGUACCGUGAGGGAAAGGCGAAAAGAACCCCGGCGAGGGGAGUGAAAAAGAACCUGAAACCGUGUACGUACAAGCAGUGGGAGCCCCACCACCAAAGCAUUCUCUGGUGUUGAAGGCCCUGCAAAGCAGCAUCGCGGUGGCGGAGCGUCGUUUGCGACGCCCAACACAAAAAACAAGCGGUGAGUGCUUUGGGGUGGGGUGACUGCGUACCUUUUGUAUAAUGGGUCAGCGACUUAUAUUCUGUAGCAAGGUUAACCGAAUAGGGGAGCCGUAGGGAAACCGAGUCUUAACUGGGCGUUAAGUUGCAGGGUAUAGACCCGAAACCCGGUGAUCUAGCCAUGGGCAGGUUGAAGGUUGGGUAACACUAACUGGAGGACCGAACCGACUAAUGUUGAAAAAUUAGCGGAUGACCUGUGGCUGGGGGUGAAAGGCCAAUCAAACCGGGAGAUAGCUGGUUCUCCCCGAAAGCUAUUUAGGUAGCGCCUCGUGAAUUCAUCUCCGGGGGUAGAGCACUGUUUCGGCUAGGGGGCCAUCCCGGCUUACCAACCCGAUGCAAACUGCGAAUACCGGAGAAUGUUAUCACGGGAGACACACGGCGGGUGCUAACGUCCGUCGUGAAGAGGGAAACAACCCAGACCGCCAGCUAAGGUCCCAAAGUCAUGGUUAAGUGGGAAACGAUGUGGGAAGGCCCAGACAGCCAGGAUGUUGGCUUAGAAGCAGCCAUCAUUUAAAGAAAGCGUAAUAGCUCACUGGUCGAGUCGGCCUGCGCGGAAGAUGUAACGGGGCUAAACCAUGCACCGAAGCUGCGGCAGCGACGCUGAUGCGUUGUUGGGUAGGGGAGCGUUCUGUAAGCCUGCGAAGGUGGCCUGUGAGGGUUGCUGGAGGUAUCAGAAGUGCGAAUGCUGACAUAAGUAACGAUAAAGCGGGUGAAAAGCCCGCUCGCCGGAAGACCAAGGGUUCCUGUCCAACGUUAAUCGGGGCAGGGUGAGUCGACCCCUAAGGCGAGGCCGAAAGGCGUAGUCGAUGGGAAACGGGUUAAUAUUCCCGUACUUGGUGUUACUGCGAAGGGGGACGGAGAAGGCUAUGUUGGCCGGGCGACGGUUGUCCCGGUUUAAGCGUGUAGGUGUGUGUUCCAGGUAAAUCCGGUUCACUUUAACACUGAGGCGUGAUGACGAGGCACUACGGUGCUGAAGCAACAAAUGCCCUGCUUCCAGGAAAAGCCUCUAAGCAUCAGGUAACAUCAAAUCGUACCCCAAACCGACACAGGUGGUCAGGUAGAGAAUACCAAGGCGCUUGAGAGAACUCGGGUGAAGGAACUAGGCAAAAUGGUGCCGUAACUUCGGGAGAAGGCACGCUGACACGUAGGUGAAGUGAUUUACUCAUGGAGCUGAAGUCAGUCGAAGAUACCAGCUGGCUGCAACUGUUUAUUAAAAACACAGCACUGUGCAAACACGAAAGUGGACGUAUACGGUGUGACGCCUGCCCGGUGCCGGAAGGUUAAUUGAUGGGGUCAGCGCAAGCGAAGCUCCUGAUCGAAGCCCCGGUAAACGGCGGCCGUAACUAUAACGGUCCUAAGGUAGCGAAAUUCCUUGUCGGGUAAGUUCCGACCUGCACGAAUGGCGUAAUGAUGGCCAGGCUGUCUCCACCCGAGACUCAGUGAAAUUGAACUCGCUGUGAAGAUGCAGUGUACCCGCGGCAAGACGGAAAGACCCCGUGAACCUUUACUAUAGCUUGACACUGAACAUUGAGCCUUGAUGUGUAGGAUAGGUGGGAGGCUUUGAAGUGUGGACGCCAGUCUGCAUGGAGCCGACCUUGAAAUACCACCCUUUAAUGUUUGAUGUUCUAACGUGGACCCGUUACCCGGGUUGCGGACAGUGUCUGGUGGGUAGUUUGACUGGGGCGGUCUCCUCCUAAAGAGUAACGGAGGAGCACGAAGGUUGGCUAAUCCUGGUCGGACAUCAGGAGGUUAGUGCAAUGGCAUAAGCCAGCUUGACUGCGAGCGUGACGGCGCGAGCAGGUGCGAAAGCAGGUCAUAGUGAUCCGGUGGUUCUGAAUGGAAGGGCCAUCGCUCAACGGAUAAAAGGUACUCCGGGGAUAACAGGCUGAUACCGCCCAAGAGUUCAUAUCGACGGCGGUGUUUGGCACCUCGAUGUCGGCUCAUCACAUCCUGGGGCUGAAGUAGGUCCCAAGGGUAUGGCUGUUCGCCAUUUAAAGUGGUACGCGAGCUGGGUUUAGAACGUCGUGAGACAGUUCGGUCCCUAUCUGCCGUGGGCGCUGGAGAACUGAGGGGGCUGCUCCUAGUACGAGAGGACCGGAGUGGACGCAUCACUGGUGUUCGGGUUGUCAUGCCAAUGGCACUGCCCGGUAGCUAAAUGCGGAAGAGAUAAGUGCUGAAAGCAUCUAAGCACGAAACUUGCCCCGAGAUGAGUUCUCCCUGAGACUUAGAGUCUCCUGAAGGAACGUUGAAGACGACGACGUUGAUAGGCCGGGUGUGUAAGCGCAGCGAUGCGUUGAGCUAACCGGUACUAAUGAACCGUGAGGCUUAACCUU
rnacentral:rRNA from 1 species